GUAGUAUCUGCAGAGGUUGCAGCGCUCGGGUUCCUGCUCUGGAAUCAGAGUCUGAAUAAAUCUGCAAGACCUAACUGAUUGAAUAUAUUGAAUACCUGUACCUGGUUUUUAAUGAACAGAAAUAUACUUGGUUCAUUGUCUGGAGGCUGGGAAGCCUAAAAUUGAGGAGCUGCUUCUGAUGAGGGGUGUCUUGCUGUGUCAUCCCAUGGUGGAAGGGCAAAGAGAAGACACCUGUGUCUAGGAAGAUGGAGCUCCAAGUUUUGCAGCGGGAACUCAUUUGGGCUCAGUAAACACUUAAGGAAGUUGCCGUGCACUGCAGCCUGCCGGAGACAUGAAGGAAUGUGCAGGAGGAUAAUCACAACAUCAUCAACCCAAUUCUCCAAGAGACAGCUUUACUAAGAAAAAUGCCUAAGAAAAACUAGGCAAUGGCUUCUGUCCUUACAAAUGAAGAACUUCAUAAGAAAUGGAGGCUCUCAAAACCACCUGCCCAAGACUGAACUAAAUACUCCAUUCAACCAAGAAUGAGGAACUGAAACACAUGAUUAUUAUAUAUGGGUAUGCUUCUGUUUCAUCUACUCAGGCACACUUGUGAUGAAGAUAUAAAAAUCAGCCAUCUUCAGAAGGAGAAACACUGUAUUUGGGGGUAUGUCUUCUGUAUAGACAAUUGGCCUUGUUAUUGUCAAAAGCUAUUUAAAAUAAAUAAAUAAAACACAAUUUUAUGCUAUAUAAAAUA